rnacentral:misc_RNA from 1 species
GCCGAUGCCGUGGGCAAUAGACAUAGCCAGAAAGCUGGGGAAGUGAUAAGAGAAAGUUUAUUACUUGAGGUAAAAAGAAAAUCAGGAGCGUUUCACUAAAAUGGCCUAAAAUCCCGACAACAGCCAUAGUCAUUCCGGCAAAGUAUGUAUAAGUAUCUCCAACAAAAACUGAAGAAGGAUACCAAUUGAAAGAAAGUAAAGCCAUGGAGGUGGCCAGUAAGGGUUGAGUAAGAUAAACAGAAAAUGCAUGGGCCUGUUGAUACUCAGGAUCCGCAGAUGCUCCAAUUUGCAUUAUAUUGUGUAUCAAAAUAGCAGAUGCGAUCACAACUGUUUGCCCGACUUCCAGACCAUUUAUACCAGCAUGAAUGUUAAUGGAAUUUGUGCAGAAAACCACCAAAAGCCCCAUGUAUAGCUUAUAUAUCCAUCCUAGGUCCAGUAUUUCAUGCCCAACAUAUGGAAUAAGAGGCUUUGGUAUUACGAUAGUUGUAUGUCCAGCAUAAGCCAUCAACAAUGGAAGCGCAGCAAUUGAUGGUAGGAGUAAUUUCACUCUCCAGGGUACGUCAAGGACAUCAUCCACGAAUCCGAGUAGAGUCAUGAAGCAGAUGCAUGCUAGUGCUGCGUUGUACUCUACAAGCCAAUUGGAAUCUGCUGUGA